rnacentral:tRNA from 1 species
CCGUCCAUAGCUCAGAUGGUAGAGCACCCGCCUUUUAAGCGGAGGGUCGUAGGUUCGAUUCCUACUGGACGGA